rnacentral:ncRNA from 1 species
ACAGUUUUGGUCCUAAACCUACUAUUAUUUAUUCCCAAGCUUACACAUGCAAGUCUCCGCACCCCAGUGAAACAUGCCCAAGCGAUCCCAUCACGCUCUGGAGCUGGUAUCAGGCACGCCCCGGCAGCCCAUGACACCUUGCACCGCCACAUCCCCACGGAACUCAGCAGUGAUAGACCUUAAGCUAUAAGCGCCCACCAAGCUUGACUAAACUAUGGGACCACAGAGCCGGUAAACUUCGUGCCAGCCACCGCGGUUACACGAAUGGGCUCAAAAUAAUAGUACCCGGCGUAAAUCGUGGCUAAAGUAUAAAUCUGAGACUGAAGCGCUGACAUAGUUGUAGAACACACCAGUCACGUGAAACCCCCACCGAGUCUCUUCUCCCUCGACCCACGAAAGCCAAGGCACAAACUAGGAUUAGAUACCCUACUAUGCUUGGCCGUUAACCUAGGCCCACCCCACUACACAUGGGCCCGCCAGAGAAUUACAAGUGAAAACUUGAAACUCCAAGGACUUGACGGUCCCCCACACCAAACUAGAGGAGCCUGUCCUAUAAUCGAUGACCCACGCUUUACCUUACCUCCCCUGGCCACUAGUCAGCCUAUAUACCGCCGUCGUCAGCCAACCUCGUGAGAGACAUAAAGUUGGCCAAACCGUCCAAACCACAAAAACGUCAGGUCAAGGUGUAGCUAAUGGGGAGGCCAGAGAUGGGCUACAUUCUCUAAUAUAGAGCACACACCACGGCCGCAUAUGAAACCCUGCCAGUAAGGUGGAUUUAGAAGUAAAUAGGGCAAGAUGUUUAAGCCCUCUUGAAGCCUGCUCUGGGUGGCGUACACACCGCCCGUCACCCUCAUCAAUCUUACACUUACCCCUAUAUAAAACCACAUAUAGAGCAAGAUGAGGCAAGUCGUAACAUGGUAAGCGUACUGGAAAGUGCGCUUGGAUC